rnacentral:rRNA from 1 species
UACGUAGGGUGCAAGCGUUGUCCGGAAUUAUUGGGCGUAAAGAGCUCGUAGGCGGUCUGUCGCGUCGGAUGUGAAAACCCAGGGCUCAACCCUGGGCCUGCAUUCGAUACGGGCAGACUAGAGUUCGGUAGGGGAGACUGGAAUUCCUGGGUGUAGCGGUGAAAUGCGCAGAUAUCAGGAGGAAUACCGGUGGCGAAGGCGGCAUCCUGGACCGAGAUUGACACUGAUGAGCGAAAGCCAGGGGAGCAAACAGG